UAGCAGGGCGGGUGCUAUACAUGCAGUCGAACGCUUCUUUUUCCACCGGAGCUUGCUCCACCGGAAAAAGAGGAGUGGCGAACGGGUGAGUAACACGUGGGUAACCUGCCCAUCAGAAGGGGAUAACACUUGGAAACAGGUGCUAAUACCGUAUAACAAUCGAAACCGCAUGGUUUUGAUUUGAAAGGCGCUUUCGGGUGUCGCUGAUGGAUGGACCCGCGGUGCAUUAGCUAGUUGGUGAGGUAACGGCUCACCAAGGCCACGAUGCAUAGCCGACCUGAGAGGGUGAUCGGCCACAUUGGGACUGAGACACGGCCCAAACUCCUACGGGAGGCAGCAGUAGGGAAUCUUCGGCAAUGGACGAAAGUCUGACCGAGCAACGCCGCGUGAGUGAAGAAGGUUUUCGGAUCGUAAAACUCUGUUGUUAGAGAAGAACAAGGAUGAGAGUAACUGUUCAUCCCUUGACGGUAUCUAACCAGAAAGCCACGGCUAACUACGUGCCAGCAGCCGCGGUAAUACGUAGGUGGCAAGCGUUGUCCGGAUUUAUUGGGCGUAAAGCGAGCGCAGGCGGUUUCUUAAGUCUGAUGUGAAAGCCCCCGGCUCAACCGGGGAGGGUCAUUGGAAACUGGGAGACUUGAGUGCAGAAGAGGAGAGUGGAAUUCCAUGUGUAGCGGUGAAAUGCGUAGAUAUAUGGAGGAACACCAGUGGCGAAGGCGGCUCUCUGGUCUGUAACUGACGCUGAGGCUCGAAAGCGUGGGGAGCAAACAGGAUUAGAUACCCUGGUAGUCCACGCCGUAAACGAUGAGUGCUAAGUGUUGGAGGGUUUCCGCCCUUCAGUGCUGCAGCUAACGCAUUAAGCACUCCGCCUGGGGAGUACGACCGCAAGGUUGAAACUCAAAGGAAUUGACGGGGGCCCGCACAAGCGGUGGAGCAUGUGGUUUAAUUCGAAGCAACGCGAAGAACCUUACCAGGUCUUGACAUCCUUUGACCACUCUAGAGAUAGAGCUUCCCCUUCGGGGGCAAAGUGACAGGUGGUGCAUGGGUUGUCGUCAGCUCGUGUCGUGAGAAUGUUGGGUUAAGU
rnacentral:rRNA from 1 species